rnacentral:rRNA from 1 species
UACGUAGGGGGCUAGCGUUGUCCGGAAUCAUUGGGCGUAAAGAGCGUGUAGGCGGUCCGGUAAGUCCGCUGUGAAAGUCGGGGGCUCAACCCUCGAAUGCCGGUGGAUACUGUCGGGCUAGAGUGCGGAAGAGGCGAGUGGAAUUCCUGGUGUAGCGGUGAAAUGCGCAGAUAUCGAGGAGGAACACCUAUUGCGAAGGCAGCUCGCUGGGACGUAACUGACGCUGAGACGCGAAAGCGUGGGGAGCAAACAGG